CCCUGGUGCCUUGUCCCUAGGAGCAAAUGCUGGGUGCAGUGAGCUGGUUUGGUUACUAUUGCUGAAAGAAAACAGCAAUAACAUUUUUGAUUUAUGUCACCUGAUUGGGCCAGAUUGUUCUGCAAAUGUGUAAGUCACUGCUGUUUGUGAGUACAUCUGUAAGGAUGAGCCAGGUGUUACACCUCACCUGCAGCUGGACUGAUACUUCUUCACCUCCUUGGAAUCUUGAGCAAUUUCUCAAAAACAGAGUUAAGGAUAAUGCCUUGUGGAUAACAAAAGCCAAGACAUUUGGGAAAUCAAUUUGAGUUUGAAAGGAACGAGAGUAGGGCAGGUUUGUCCUAUCAUGCUACAGAGCUAUGCUCACAGAAGAGAAUUGAUAAUGAAAAACAUGAUGUGGAGAAAGAAAAUAAAGAAGAGAGGGAUGAUAGCAGGAUGACAUUUAAGAAGAGGAUUGCUAUGAGCAGGUACUCCUGCUCAUAAAUGGAUUAAACUGCCUUCCCCCGAAGACAAAGAGACAUUUCUAUUGAUUUCAGAGGGAAAUGAAUUAAGUCCAUUUUCUUUAAACUUGGCACCAGUUGUCAUCACUUAGAGCUAUUCAG